rnacentral:rRNA from 1 species
CCCUUAGAUGUUCUGGGCCGCACGCGCGCUACACUGAUGCAUUCAACGAGCCUAUCCUUGACCGACAGGUCCGGGUAAUCUUUGAAUCUGCAUCGUGACGGGGAUAGAUUAUUGCAAUUAUUAAUCUUCAACGAGGAAUGCCUAGUAGGCGCAAGUCAUCAGCUUGCGUCGAUUACGUCCCUGCCCUUUGUACACACCGCCCGUCGCUCCUACCGAUUGAAUGCUCAGGUGAGCCAUUCGGACUUUCAUCAUGCUGGUUUCCAGUUUUGAUGAAGGAAAGCCUUGCGAACCUUAUCAUUUAGAGGAAGGAGAAGUCGUAACA